rnacentral:lncRNA from 1 species
CCCAGCUGAGCCUCUCAGAGGAGGGAUGUGGGUUUGAAAGACACAAUAAAGACUUUUCAAAGCACUGGAGGUGGUUUGUGUGGUACCUGAAGGUGUCACCAGGCAAGCAGGCUCUGCCUGGCAGGAAUGAAAAUGCCUGAAAUGCUGCCUGGGCCCUUCCAGGGAGCUUGCAAGGCACAGACUUGGAACUAUUUCAGCCCAGGGAUUAAAGAAACAUGCUUUGAAAAAGAGGAAUGAUAAAGAAAAAAAGAGAAAUUAAAUAGAAGGUUGGAUUUUUAUUUUUUUUUUUGGUUGGAGCCUGUUUAAAUUACUGUCAGCAGUGUAAAAUGAUGUAAAAUGGAUCAGAGCUGCCAUCUCAAUUUUUAAUGAGAUCCCAUCUGAAACAGGAAGAUCUCAGGCACGUGGUCCAGCUAAAGGAUGUCAGCAGCUCAGAGCACACUUUGCCAUCAACAUUCUUCACUCCAAUGCCUGAAAUCUCUGGGUUCUGCCUGUGCCACACAUUUGCUACUCCAUGA